rnacentral:lncRNA from 1 species
AGAGAAAUUACAAGGUUUAAGACCAAACCAUAAAACCAAGCUAAAUCCAUAAAGACAUACAAUCUGAAAAUCUAAACCUGUUGAUAAUAAUGUAGUGUGUGUGUGCUAUGUUCACAAAUAAGCUUGACAAAGGUGAAGACUCCACAUGCUAUACUUCUAUGAAGGAAAAAUAAGGCUUUAAAUCUAGAAAACUGAGACAUAUGAAAUAACAACUACUCCAACACA